rnacentral:rRNA from 1 species
CCUACGGGAGGCAGCAGUGAGGAAUAUUGGUCAAUGGACGAGAGUCUGAACCAGCCAAGUAGCGUGAAGGAUGACUGCCCUAUGGGUUGUAAACUUCUUUUAUAUGGGAAUAAAACGUUCCACGUGUGGGAUUUUGUAUGUACCAUAUGAAUAAGGAUCGGCUAACUCCGUGCCAGCAGCCGCGGUAAUACGGAGGAUCCGAGCGUUAUCCGGAUUUAUUGGGUUUAAAGGGAGCGUAGGUGGAUUGUUAAGUCAGUUGUGAAAGUUUGCGGCUCAACCGUAAAAUUGCAGUUGAAACUGGCAGUCUUGAGGACAGUAGAGGUGGGCGGAAGUCGUGGUGUAGCGGUGAAAUGCUUAGAUAUCACGAAGAACUCCGAUUGCGAAGGCAGUUCACUGGACUGCAACUGACACUGAGGCUCGAAAGUGUGGGUAUCAAACAGGAUUAGAUACCCCAGUAGUC